UUUUUUUGUUUGAGCUAGUUAAAUGAAUGGUUAUUUUCAAAUCCAGUCAAAAUUCAGAAUGGCUAGUGUUGACUGAACUAAUUAAGACAAAUCAGGUAAGUAUGUGGACUUAUGACAGCUAUGUUUCCUGACAACAAAAUGCUCAUAAUAUUACUGUUAUUUGGUCACAAAAUGUAAUUGUAAGAGUUGCUCAGGCGUGAAUGUAUGUGCUUAAAGUUUAAAUAUGCGGUCGGUUAAUAAAGAUAGCGUCUAUUUAAAAAUGUGCUCGGACACUUUCGGACGUAGAUGAGCUCCAUACUCAUAUGGAGAAUCACUCCAGAAAAUCACAGACACUUAAGCGCUCACACCCCGCCCAGCGCAGCCUCUCCUCGGCAAGCCCAUCAGACUGCUGGGUCUGAUAUCUCUGACUCUGUGGCGUUUAAACAUGUGAUUUAAUUCAUUUUGAUUUCUCAUACUUAACAAUGAAAGGGUUAUGUUUUAAAUCAUAUUUUAGGAUUGCACUUAAUUGAUAUUGCUGUUGAGUGAUGUUUCAUAUCUUUUAAAUUUGUUAUAACCGGACUGCAUGCGAAUUUGAACUUCAGAGCUGAGGAAGCGGGUGGAGAAAUAGUCCCAAUAUCAUAACAAUCUUAAAUAAAACUUCUAAAUAUGCCCGUGUGUGUACCCGUGUGCGCGCGCGCGUGCGCGCGACCCGCUCACGCGCGCGUGUGUAUGUACAGUAUGUGCGUGAGUUUUUAAUUUAAAAUGUCUUAACUUAACUCGGAAGGAUCUGAAUCACAGGUCAUUUCAUCUGAGAUCAUUCCGCAUGUAACAACCGGAAUCACUCACUGUUUCCCACAACGACACGAGUCAUCAGCCGUUUCCUCAAGGUCACGUCAGAGGGGUGGUGAUGUGGAGAGGCAGACCAGACCACCACCAUACGCGAAGAUGAGCCUCGAGGCUUGACAGUUAUUUUUUCAAACUGAGGAGUUCGGACUCCGGACCGUCAUUUCUGCUUGUUUGUACCCUGAGAUAACCAUGGUUAAUAAAUGGUCAGACACGUCACUGGCUUUAAAAUAUAAACCCCAUUGAUGCAAAAAGAUGCUGCAUGGAAUGACAAUGUGGUUUGGAACAGACUUGGUGAAGAACAUGGAAACAUCUCUUAAUAAAAUGGCCCCAAACAUCAUCAGGAGUGCAAAAGAAGGAAGUAAAAACAUCUCUACGCCAAUCUCAUUGGAGAGGAAACCACAGAAGGUCUGGUGAGGAAUGCUGCACUUAUGUUAUUGCAAGCAUUAUUUCAAGAAAAUCCCAGCUUCCUUUACUGUGAACCCAAAGGUCCCACACCAACCAUAGUGUUCAACGGCUCUCCUGAUCUUCUCAAAUCUGAAAGUAUCAACUUUAUAAUGGACAAUGUGAACUAAAUAUGUGGAAGACAUUGACAUCACAGGCUGUGGAAUGACUGUGUCACAGGUCGGAGAAGCAGACCGCCCCUGUCGCGGAUCACGCUCCUCCUAGUUCCACCUCGAGGAGGUCCCAAAGCACCCCAAUGACCAGACAAACCAGAGAUAAGUAAAAUAUAGAAAUAGAAACUUUAUUUAAAUUAUUUAAAACUUAAGUGGGGAAUGAGAAAGGGAAUCUAAAAAUCUCGCUUCUCGUCCUCAGGGGGAGUAUUACGGGGCCAGGGACGUUGGAGGGGUUUCCACGUGACUCCAGCUGGAACACCGCUACAAAGCGUAUCUGGGUGGGUUGGGCACACACCGUCGCGGCGGCCCCUGAUGGCAUCCACAAGGGUCCAAGACCCUCCUAAGCUCCUAGCCGUAACAGAACUACGUAUUUCAGCACCCGAACGACUAACAACCCAGCCGGCAUCUGCAGCGUAUAUCCAACGCGAUCAAACUUCACUCUGACAAGUAACUUCCUAUACACAACCACGCCGUCCUUUCGCCCGGACCAGCCCCGCACUCUUUCCGCCCGCUACCUAGCGGUCGCCGGAUCAGCAGAGCCUGCGGACUCUUCGGAGGCUGGUCUUCGUUGUGCUGUCCAAGGCGAAAGUUGACUCGCCCGAAAAUCGACCCUUCCAGUAACUUCUACCUUCUCUCUUUAUAUCCUCCUCCCAGGCGUGGCUCGCCCAACCAUCGCUCGCCACGUCACUCACACAGCUGUGCCUUGUUUCAGCGAGUGCGGGGAUUCCCGGGGAACCCUGAAGUGCCGGUGUCUGUACAAACCGGUCCAGGCGGAACCUCUUCACUCUCCUUUUGGUUCCGCCCCGCAUAGUCACUCCGUGACAACUGUUUGCGUUUUUUUUUCUCCUCAAUGUUCAAUACCCUUUUGCCAUUAAGCACACAGUGACUUUAAUUUAUAAAAUAUAUGCUUAAGUUUUAAUACCUGUACAAAACAAAUGUACAAUCAACUUGUGUAAAUUGUCAUUCUAUUUAAUAGAUUGUUCAUGAAUUGUCUUUAAAUGCAUUGUGAUUUCGGUAACACUUUACAAUAAAGUUAAUUAGUUAACAUUAGUUAAUGUAUUAACUAACUUGAACAAACCAUAAGCAAUACAUUUGUUACAGUAUUUAUUCAUCUUUGUUAAUGUUAAUUAAUAAAAAUUUAAGCUUUAAUUGCUUGUUCAUGUUAGUUCAGAGUGCAUUAACUAAUGUUAACAAGAUUUUAAUCAAGUAAUUGUUGAAAUUAACAUUAACAAAGAUUAAUAAAGGCUGUAUAAGUGCAGUUCAUUAUUAGUUCAUGUUAACUAAUGUAGCUAACUAAUGUUAACUAAUGAACCUUAUUGUAAAGUGUUACCGUGAUUUCUUUUCAUCAUUUCAGACACAUGUAAAAGUUACUAAAAAUUAAUACUGCAUAUAGUGUACAGUAUCUAUGCGUAAGGGAAAUAACUUAAACAAAAUUUUUAAUGUAUAGUGUAAUUAAGAGUUUAGCUGUUUAAUACAGAGAUGCAAUUUAUUUAUAUAUAUUAUUUAUAUAUAAACGUAUGUAUGUUUAUUAAAAAGUGAAAAUGCUUAAUGGAAAUAAUUAAAUAACUAAAUGGUUGAAUGUAAUGAGACAUUUUAAAUGUAAACUAAAGUUUUGCUGUCUAAUACAGAAUAAAGAGAUGUGAUUUUAAGUAA